rnacentral:rRNA from 1 species
UUUCACAAUGGGGGAAACCCUGAUGGAGCGACGCCGCGUGGGGGAUGAAGGGCUUCGGCUCGUAAACCCCUGUCAGCCGCGAACAAUGCUUACGACCUAACACGUCGUGAGUUGAUAGUAGUGGCAGAGGAAGGGACGGCUAACUCUGUGCCAGCAGCCGCGGUAAUACAGAGGUCCCAAGCGUUGUUCGGAUUUACUGGGCGUAAAGGGUGCGUAGGUGGUCGGGUAAGUCUCAUGUGAAAUCUCCAAGCUCAACUUGGAAAUGGCAUGGGAUACUAUUCGGCUAGAGGAUUGGAGGGGGGACUGGAAUUUCCGGUGUAGCAGUGAAAUGCGUAGAUAUCGGGAGGAACACCAGUGGCGAAGGCGAGUCCCUGGACAAUUCCUGACGCUGAGGCACGAAAGCUAGGGGAGCAAACAGGAUUAGAUACCCUGGUAGUCCUAGCUGUAAACGGUGCUCACUUGCUGUAGACGGAAUCGACCCCGUCUGUGGCGAAGUAACGCGUUAAGUGAACCGCCUGGGGAGUACGGUCGCAAGAUUAAAACUCAAAGAAAUUGACGGGGGCCUGCACAAGCGGUGGAGUAUGUGGCUUAAUUCGAUGCAACGCGAAGAACCUUACCUGGCCUUGACAUGUAGGUGGUAGAAGUCUGAAAGGAUGACGACCCCGCAAGGGGAGCUUACACAGGUGCUGCAUGGCUGUCGUCAGCUCGUGUCGUGAGAUGUUGGGUUAGUCCCGCAACGAGCGCAACCCCUGCGUCCUGUUGCCACCCCCUCGAGAGAGGGGAGCACUCUGGACGGACUGCCUCACUCAAAUGGGGAGGAAGGUGGGGAUGACGUCAAGUCAGGAUGGCCCUUACGGCCAGGGCUGCACACGUACUACAAUGCCCGGCAUAAUGGGAAGCAAGACCGCGAGGUGGAGCAAAUCCUCAAAACCGGGCUCAGUUCAGAUUGAAGGCUGCAACUCGCCUUCAUGAAGCUGGAAUCGCU